GGAGCAGUAGCUCAGUGGUAGAGCUCCCGCUUCAUAUGCGGGAAGACCUGGGUCCGAUUCCCGACUGCUUCC
rfam:Toxocara canis scaffold357, whole genome shotgun sequence.